rnacentral:lncRNA from 1 species
AAAAUUAAACACUUUCAACUGUCCUGGCCCUGGAUGGAAUUGGCACUGGAGAAUCAGUUGGGUUCACAUAAUAGUGGACUGGACUAGUUCCUGGGCCCUCUUCCAAAGUUGAAUAUUAGCACUGAAAGAGGACUUGUGAUCUAAAGCCUUCACUUCCUGCGACACAGAAUUGGCAGCUCUGAGGAUUCUGAAGACCUCAGACUCAAAACCAAUUGAAACAAGUGAAACUUAAACCAUUUGUCAAACAAGCAUCUACAUUGCUACAAAAAAUGAAGGCUCCAGAACAAACCUAGAACCAAGUAUUUGGAAUGCACAUCCUUUCUGGGAUCCUCCUCUCAAUAUAAAAGUGACUACAUAUAGAAUGCAGAGCCCAGGAACCUCAAGCAGAAGAGACCAGCAAGGCCAUGAGGAUGCAUACAGAAGAUGUCUAGCUUGGUGGUCCUGGGCCGUGGCAGGAAAGUCAGAGCUGAAACUUGGUAAGUCCUCCAAACUGUGUGAAGCUCCUCUUUAAAUAAAGAAACAAGUUACAGUAUAAAUGAAAAAACUCUAUGA